UUAAGCCCCACGUGACACGCAAGUACUUGGUGAUCACAGAAGCAGCGAUUUCAAAAUCCGAAGGCCUGCGAAACUGCGGCAUAGCUCAUCCUCCUCCUUCCCCAGAGACAAAAAGAACGGCCGGCCUGGGCCCGCUCUUGCCAGCAGAGUGACUGUUUCCUGCUGCUUCCUGGUCUGCUGUUGGAGGACUCAGUGCCACGACAUUAGAGGAAGAGCAUUCCUGAUGUGACACACCUCGUAGCGCCAGCGUGGGCACAGCCGCGGCCGCAGACAGGCCAGGGAUUCUGCCAUCCACGUGCGGGGGGCACAUGGCCGCUGGGGGCUGGGCUCCACUUUGACUCUCCCGGGUACAGAAGCAGCACUAUGUCCUCCCACCGAGGCUCCUGCUUUGCCGGCAGAAGGAUGGCUGUGAAGUGAUCCACAGGAACUUUGAAGGCAUAUUUGGCUUAGAACCUCUAUUAACUUUAUGCCACAUAACCAAACCUUAACCGGAUUCAUAUUGAAGAUGAGGAAGCGGUGAAACAAACUCCCAUUUCUUUAGGACAAAAUGGCAAAUCAACAAAUUAAGCUGAGGAAAGGGACUCUGUACUUCUCUCUCACCCUCAACCCCCAACCUAUGUCCUCGAAUGAUAAUUAUUCACACUACUUUGCUGUGCUGCCGCAGCUUCUGUGCUCUGACUCACACUUGUGACUCGUCAUUCAACAGCCAAGGUUUAUUGAGUGUCUUUGCUGUGCCAGGUGUUCUAGGUGAUAAGGAUUCACUGUUGGGCAAAAAAGGUAAAAAAUCUCUGCCUUCGUGGAGCCCACAUCCUAACACAUGACCUCCUUCACCCUCAAGUCAGCCCCGGGAAGUCCUGGGUGCAGUGGUGUCCCCAGGGUCCCCCAGCACUACGUGUGGAGUCAAGAUUUGCAGCUGCAUCUUCAGAUUCCAGAGCCCCAGAUUCCAGAUUCCUGCCAGGCCACCGUACACUGCAGGAUCAUGGCUGGUGUUCAGAAAGAUGAUCCCGAGUGACAGUAAAGAAAAAAUACCAUAGCCAAUAAAUUGCAUUUAU